CCUACGGGAGGCAGCAGUGGGGAAUUUUGGACAAUGGGCGCAAGCCUGAUCCAGCAAUGCCGCGUGCAGGAUGAAGGCCUUCGGGUUGUAAACUGCUUUUGUACGGAGCGAAACGGCUUCCCCUAAUACGGGGAGCUAAUGACGGUACCGUAAGAAUAAGCACCGGCUAACUACGUGCCAGCAGCCGCGGUAGUACGUAGGGUGCGAGCGUUAAUCGGAAUUACUGGGCGUAAAGCGUGCGCAGGCGGUUAUAUAAGACAGAUGUGAAAUCCCCGGGCUCAACCUGGGACCUGCAUUUGUGACUGUAUAGCUAGAGUACGGUAGAGGGGGAUGGAAUUCCGCGUGUAGCAGUGAAAUGCGUAGAUAUGCGGAGGAACACCGAUGGCGAAGGCAAUCCCCUGGACCUGUACUGACGCUCAUGCACGAAAGCGUGGGGAGCAAACAGGAUUAGAUACCCUGGUAGUCCACGCCCUAAACGAUGUCAACUGGUUGUUGGGUCUUCACUGACUCAGUAACGAAGCUAACGCGUGAAGUUGACCGCCUGGGGAUACGGCCGCAAGGUUGAAACUCAAAGGAUUGACGGCUUGAGAGNGCGAGCGACGACGAGGGAGGAGG
rnacentral:rRNA from 1 species